rnacentral:rRNA from 1 species
UGCUCCUACGGGAGGCAGCAGUGAGGAAUAUUGGUCAAUGGGCGGGAGCCUGAACCAGCCAAGUCGCGUGAGGGAUGACGGCCCUAUGGGUUGUAAACCUCUUUUGCCGGGGAGCAAAGUGCCGCACGUGUGCGGUUUGGAGAGUACCCGGAGAAAAAGCAUCGGCUAACUCCGUGCCAGCAGCCGCGGUAAUACGUAGGUGGCGAGCGUUAUCCGGAAUGAUUGGGCGUAAAGGGUGCGCAGGCGGUCCUGCAAGUCUGGAGUGAAACGCAUGAGCUCAACUCAUGCAUGGCUUUGGAAACUGG